AAGCCAUGCAUGUCUAAGUAUAAGCAAUUAUACCGCGAAACUGCGAAUGGCUCAUUAUAUAAGUUAUCGUUUAUUUGAUAGCACAUUACUACAUGGAUAACUGUGGUAAUUCUAGAGCUAAUACAUGCUAAAAAUCCCGACUUCGGAAGGGAUGUAUUUAUUAGAUUAAAAGCCAACGUCCUUCAGGGCUUCCUGGUGAUUCAUAAUAACUUUUCGAAUCGCAUGGCCUUGCGCCGGCGAUGGUUCAUUCAAAUUUCUUCCUUAUCAACUUUCGAUGCGAAGGGAUUGUCUUCGCAUGGUUGCAACUGGUAACGGAGGGUGAGGGCUUGACCCCGGAGAAAGAGCGUGAGAAAAGUGUACGACAGCCCAGGAAGGCAGCAGGCGCGCGAAAUACUCCAUCACUACAAGGGGUGGCUGUGAUGACUAACACG
rnacentral:rRNA from 1 species